rnacentral:sRNA from 1 species
AGUGUUUGGUAAUGAGUGGAUGUAAUGGGUGUAUGGGUGGAUGUUUGGUAAUGAGUGGAUGUAAUGGGUGUAGUGGAUGAGUGUUUGGUAAUGAGUGGAUGUAAUGGGUGUAGUGGAUGGAUGUUUGGAGUUGUAGGUCAACACACUUGCACACACACAUGCUGAUUUCUAGCCUUCAAAUCUUCAAAAACGUCCAUCCUCAUGUCUCCAUGCUUGCACUAUCCAAUCUUGGCUCAAAAAUGCUCUAAAAUGCUCCAAAAUGCACUUUUUUGCCAACUUAGUUAUUAUGACCUACAAACACACGAAAAUAGCUUAAAAUACAUAAUUAACUAAGAAAUAACAACACAAAUGCACAAGAACAAGCUAACUAAGUCGCAUAAAUAUGCUCCUAUCAAAUUCCCCCACACUUAGCUUUUGCUA